rnacentral:rRNA from 1 species
GGAAGUGCGGUCUAUAAUGCAAGUCGAGCGAACAGAUAAGGAGCUUGCUCCUUUGACGUUAGCGGCGGACGGGUGAGUAACACGUGGGUAACCUACCUAUAAGACUGGGAUAACUUCGGGAAACCGGAGCUAAUACCGGAUAACAUUUGGAACCGCAUGGUUCUAAAGUGAAAGAUGGUUUUGCUAUCACUUAUAGAUGGACCCGCGCCGUAUUAGCUAGUUGGUAAGGUAACGGCUUACCAAGGCGACGAUACGUAGCCGACCUGAGAGGGUGAUCGGCCACACUGGAACUGAGACACGGUCCAGACUCCUACGGGAGGCAGCAGUAGGGAAUCUUCCGCAAUGGGCGAAAGCCUGACGGAGCAACGCCGCGUGAGUGAUGAAGGGUUUCGGCUCGUAAAACUCUGUUAUUAGGGAAGAACAAAUGUGUAAGUAACUGUGCACGUCUUGACGGUACCUAAUCAGAAAGCCACGGCUAACUACGUGCCAGCAGCCGCGGUAAUACGUAGGUGGCAAGCGUUAUCCGGAAUUAUUGGGCGUAAAGCGCGCGUAGGCGGUUUCUUAAGUCUGAUGUGAAAGCCCACGGCUCAACCGUGGAGGGUCAUUGGAAACUGGGAAACUUGAGUGCAGAAGAGGAAAGUGGAAUUCCAUGUGUAGCGGUGAAAUGCGCAGAGAUAUGGAGGAACACCAGUGGCGAAGGCGACUUUCUGGUCUGUAACUGACGCUGAUGUGCGAAAGCGUGGGGAUCAAACAGGAUUAGAUACCCUGGUAGUCCACGCCGUAAACGAUGAGUGCUAAGUGUUAGGGGGUUUCCGCCCCUUAGUGCUGCAGCUAACGCAUUAAGCACUCCGCCUGGGGAGUACGACCGCAAGGUUGAAACUCAAAGGAAUUGACGGGGACCCGCACAAGCGGUGGAGCAUGUGGUUUAAUUCGAAGCAACGCGAAGAACCUUACCAAAUCUUGACAUCCUUUGAAAACUCUAGAGAUAGAGCCUUCCCCUUCGGGGGACAAAGUGACAGGUGGUGCAUGGUUGUCGUCAGCUCGUGUCGUGAGAUGUUGGGUUAAGUCCCGCAACGAGCGCAACCCUUAAGCUUAGUUGCCAUCAUUAAGUUGGGCACUCUAGGUUGACUGCCGGUGACAAACCGGAGGAAGGUGGGGAUGACGUCAAAUCAUCAUGCCCCUUAUGAUUUGGGCUACACACGUGCUACAAUGGACAAUACAAAGGGCAGCUAAACCGCGAGGUCAUGCAAAUCCCAUAAAGUUGUUCUCAGUUCGGAUUGUAGUCUGCAACUCGACUACAUGAAGCUGGAAUCGCUAGUAAUCGUAGAUCAGCAUGCUACGGUGAAUACGUUCCCGGGUCUUGUACACACCGCCCGUCACACCACGAGAGUUUGUAACACCCGAAGCCGGUGGAGUAACCAUUUAUGAGCUAGCCUCGAAGUACAAGUUUUAUAUUUCGA